GCCGCGUUAGCUCAGCUGGUAGAGCAGCUGUCUUGUAAACAGCAGGUCGCCGGUUCGAACCCGGCACGCGGCU
rfam:Actinomyces denticolens strain PA genome assembly, contig: Ga0104373_105